ACCAUGAUGACGUCACUUAUUAUACACGGAAAAUUCGUGGAUUUCGUUAAAGGCUGUGUAACUUAUAAUGUGGCUGCAGUUCUUAUAAUAUAGCUGCAAGACUUAUAAAAAUAUAGCUACUGAACGCAUAUCCUAUUAAUGUUGGUUAUUUACCUGCAAUGUGAGUUACACAACUAUAUUAUAGAUUACAGAGCUACAUUAUGCAUCGACAACACAUGUUAUAGCUAGGAUUUGCAUAUUGUGGCUGUGUACUCUAUAUCAUAGCUGUGUAACGCAUAUUUGACGUAUGAAAAAUAUAGCUGUGUGCUGCAUAUCAGAAAAUGUAUGGGACCAUGCAUUCAAGUUGUGAUUCGUACUGACGCUUGGUCGGACUCAAUGUUAACAGAUAAAGAAAAAUCGUAAAAUAGCUUGGCUGAUUUUAAUAAAGCUUGAUUGUCAGGUUAUAGAAAUACCUCUUCAAUAGUCAAAAUCCGUGGAAACACAGACGAAUGA